GCGUUGUCCGGAAUCAUUGGGCGUAAAGCGCGUGUAGGCGGCCCGAUAAGUCCGCUGUGAAAGUCCAGGGCUCAACCCUGGGAUGCCGGUGGAUACUGUCGGGCUCGAGUCCGGAAGAGGCGAGUGGAAUUCCUGGUGUAGCGGUGAAAUGCGCAGAUAUCAGGAGGAACACCAAUGGCGAAGGCAGCUCGCUGGGACGUGACUGACGCUGAGACGCGAAGGCGUGGGGAGCAAACAGG
rnacentral:rRNA from 1 species